UGAGGAUAUAACUCAGUGGUAGAGUGCUUAUCUAGAAUUCAAGAGAUCCUGAGUUUGAUCCUCAUCACCACAA
rnacentral:tRNA from 1 species